rnacentral:rRNA from 1 species
AUUGAACGCUGGCGGCAUGCCUUACACAUGCAAGUCGAACGGCAGCACGGGAGCAAUCCUGGUGGCGAGUGGCGAACGGGUGAGUAAUGUAUCGGAACGUACCUUUCAGUGGGGGAUAACGUAGCGAAAGUUACGCUAAUACCGCAUAUUCUGUGAGCAGGAAAGCAGGGGAUCGCAAGACCUUGCGCUGAUUGAGCGGCCGAUAUCAGAUUAGCUAGUUGGUGAGGUAAAGGCUCACCAAGGCGACGAUCUGUAGCGGGUCUGAGAGGAUGAUCCGCCACACUGGAACUGAGACACGGUCCAGACUCCUACGGGAGGCAGCAGUGGGGAAUUUUGGACAAUGGGCGCAAGCCUGAUCCAGCCAUGCCGCGUGAGUGAAGAAGGCCU